rnacentral:rRNA from 1 species
UAAGGAAUAUUGGUCAAUGGACGCAAGUCUGAACCAGCCAUGCCGCGUGGAGGAUGAAGGCCCUCUGGGUUGUAAACUUCUUUUAUAUGGGACGAAAAAGGGUCUUUCUAGAUCAACUGACGGUACCAUGUGAAUAAGCACCGGCUAACUCCGUGCCAGCAGCCGCGGUAAUACGGAGGGUGCAAGCGUUAUCCGGAUUCACUGGGUUUAAAGGGUGCGUAGGUGGGUUGGUAAGUCAGUGGUGAAAUCUCCGAGCUUAACUUGGAAACUGCCUUGGAUACUAUUUGCCUUGAAUUAUGUUGAGGUUGGCGGAAUAUAACAUGUAGCGGUGAAAUGCAUAGAUAUGACAUAGAACACCAAUUGCGAAGGCAGCUGGCUACGCAUAUAUUGACACUGAGGCACGAAAGCGUGGGGAUCAAACA